rnacentral:rRNA from 1 species
GAGUUUGAUCAAUGGNUCNGAUNGANCGCCUGGGGGGCAGGCCUAACACUUGCAAGUCCGAACGGUAACNGGAAGAAGCUUGCUUCUUUGCUGACGAGUGGCGGACGGGUNAGUAAUGUCUGGGAAACUGCCUGAUGGAGGGGGAUAACUACUGGAAACGGUAGCUAAUACCGCAUAACGUCGCAAGACCAAAGAGGGGGACCUUCGGGCCUCUUGCCAUCGGAUGUGCCCAGAUGGGAUUAGCUAGUAGGUGGGGUAACGGCUCACCUAGGCGACGAUCCCUAGCUGGUNUGAGAGGAUGACCAGCCACACUGGAACUGAGACACGGUCCAGACUCCUACGGGACGCAGCAGA